AAAUAGAAAACUCAUCAGCCAUUUGGGGAUUUAUUCAUCACACGAUCUAGGGCUGCUGGGUGGUGAACGGCGACUGCUGGGCGAAUAGCGGCUCGACCGCAGCUGGGUGAACGGCGAUGGUAACGGUGGUGAACGUCUCCAGCAAGCGUGGGUUCUCAGCUUCAGCACUCUCGGCGUCGUUGACAGGAACGGUGACAGGAAAAUCUUCUCCGGCGUUGGUUCUCGGCUCCAGCACUCUCGGCGGCGGUGCGGGUUCUUGGCUCCAUCACUCUCGGCGGCGGCGUGCUUCUCAGGGUGGGUCUCUGCUGGUUGCUGGUUCACGAUUCCAGCAGGUUACUUUGUUUUUUUAUUUUUUAAUAUUUUUUUUUUGCUUAUAUAAAUAUAUAUAUGUAGCUAUUUAUAUGGGUUUUAAUUUAAUUUUGUUUUUAUUUAAACCUGUUCUUCUUCUUCUUUGUUUGGAUUCUGGGUAAAUGAUGAAAAAUGUAAGAUGAAAAUGCUCACAAAAUAUCAACUCCAGCCAGCGUGGUGGUGAAGGGCGAUGGUGACCGUAGGUGAACGCCUCUAGCCAGCGUGGGCUCUCGGGACCCUCGAAAAUCUGUUCCGGCAACGUUGGAUUUCGGCUGUUGGUGGUGAACGGUGACGAUGAGGCGUGGGCAUCUCUGGGUUAGUGGUUCACGGUUGGUUCCUCUGAGCAGUGUCGUAAACAACCAAACAAUAUCGACUGCGGAUAUUACGUUAUGAGGAUGAUGAAGAAUGUACUUAUCAAUGCCCCUCAUAUCAAACAUUUCUUGUCGAAACAGUUCACCUCCGACAAACCAUAUACUACUCAAGAAAUUGACGAAGUUAGAGAAGAAUGGACAAUGUCAUUUUUACAAUUGUAAUGACAGAGAUGAUUCUCUGUGUUUUCUCCACCGUCCAGCGCCACCUAGCGCCGCCCAACGAUUUCUGACGACAUUUUUGGCACUCCAAUGUUAAGAUUGUAUUCGAGCAUCCUGAGCCUUUGACCAAUUUAUUGAUAUCAUCGCGAGCCUUUGCAUAUUGUUUGUAAUCUUUUUUUUUUAUUGAUUAGUAUAUUAAUUGAUACAUGUUUGUGUUGUGAAAUUUAUUGUUACGCAAGUGCAAGCAUCACAAAUUAGUAAUAAUCUUGGUAAAACCAAGCAUUGUCCUCAA